GACGAACGCUGGCGGCGUGCUUAACACAUGCAAGUCGAACGGAAAGGCCCUGCUUUUGUGGGGUGCUCGAGUGGCGAACGGGUGAGUAACACGUGAGUAACCUGCCCUUGACUUUGGGAUAACUUCAGGAAACUGGGGCUAAUACCGGAUAGGAGCUCCUGCUGCAUGGUGGGGGUUGGAAAGUUUCGGCGGUUGGGGAUGGACUCGCGGCUUAUCAGCUUGUUGGUGGGGUAGUGGCUUACCAAGGCUUUGACGGGUAGCCGGCCUGAGAGGGUGACCGGCCACAUUGGGACUGAGAGACGGCCCAGACGCCUACGGGAGGCAGCAGUGGGGAAUAUUGCACAAUGGGCGGAAGCCUGAUGCAGAAACGCCGCGUGCGGGAUGACGGCCUUCGGGUUGUAAACCGCUGUCGCCUGUGACGAAGCGUGAGUGACGGUAAUGGGUAAAGAAGCACCGGCUAACUACGUG
rnacentral:rRNA from 1 species